CCUAAUUACCAAGUUGUUAAUUGAGUUGCACGGUACUACUUUCCAAUAUUUAUUUCUUCACAGAAGAAGGUCGUAUUCACUCAGAUUCGGGACAGCAAUGAUUUGUGCUCGUCUGCUGCGGGAGAAUGCGGAGACAUUACUUCAAUAAUAAGGAAUCUGAGUACUUCGAUACACAAAAUCGAGCCCUGUCGAGUCCUAGUUCUGCCUUUAUGCUGUUGGAUUUGGUCAAGGACAACUUCAUAAACGUUUUGCAGACGAUUGUGAUCGGUGGUUCAAUCAAUUGGAUUAAGCCUCACUUAAUUCCGCCUGGGUUUUGUCAGCUUCGUGAUAUCUCCCGAAUGUGUUUGGCUGAGAAGUAAUUACACGCUGGUCCUGGGAAAUGAUAAUGCCAUGGAUCAGACCCAAUCGAUGCAGGAUCAGAUGUCGAUAGUUUAGACAGCUCAAUAAAUGAAUAAAGAUACAUACAAAAGCUCAAUAAGUUUAUAACAAUAUAUGCAUAAAGGUUGGGUUAACAUAACAUGUUUAGGGUAUAUGUUAAACCAACGUUGAACCGACUGCUUAUACUGGGUUAUACUGGCCGAUUUGACAUUUGUU